GCGGCUUGUCACGUCGGGUGUGAAAGCCCGGGGCUUAACCCCGGGUCUGCAUUCGAUACGGGCUAGCUAGAGUGUGGUAGGGGAGAUCGGAAUUCCUGGUGUAGCGGUGAAAUGCGCAGAUAUCAGGAGGAACACCGGUGGCGAAGGCGGAUCUCUGGGCCAUUACUGACGCUGAGGAGCGAAAGCGUGGGGAGCGAACAGGAUUAAAUACCCUGGUAGUCCACGCCGUAAACGGUGGGAACUAGGUGUUGGCGACAUUCCACGUCGUCGGUGCCGCAGCUAACGCAUUAAGUUCCCCGCCUGGGGAGUACGGCCCCAAGGCUAAAA
rnacentral:rRNA from 1 species